UGUUGACGGGGCCGAGCUUGGCUCUUGGUGCCCGUGGCCACCCCCUACCUGCCCGGCUCCGGGUCUGACCCCAGCUUGGUGGGCAGGAUCAUCACCCGAGCUGAGCUCUUAGUGUUGGCGCGCCGCAGUCCAGCCUGCUGCAUCUCUCCCGGAUCUCUGACCGGCUCCCUCUGCCUGUCCCCGCUCCCCCUGCGCUGUUCCCGACUCUGGGGGGUGGGGGGGUCGACGUCACAUCUGAUCUGCUUGAGAGUCAAUGGGGAUGUGUCCUCCUUCCAACCAGGAGGAGUGAGAGGCUGCAGCUAUCCUGGCCUGGGCCCCCCGCGGCCAGAGCUGGGGUGCAGGGACAUUGCUUUUGGAAGUGACCUCAGGGCCCAGGAGUGGGGCUGCGGAGGGAGCACCAGGGGAGACAGACCAACCCAGGGUGCGGUUGCAAGCUGGGCCCUGCAGUGAGCUGAUGGCGGACCCCCAAAAAAGACAGGUCCAGAUCCUCAUCCCCUGCAGCCUGGGAAUGAGGUCUUAUUUGGAAAAAAGGUCUUUACAGACGUAAUUAAGGAUCUCGAUAUGAGAUCAUCCUGGAUUUAGGGUGGGCCCUGCACCCAAUGACAGGCGUCCUUAUCAGGGAAGGGCAGAGGGAGAUUUGAGACAGAGACACGCGGAGAAGGCCUGCGAUGACCUUCGGAGGCAGAGAUGGCAGUGACGGGAUUUGAGGACUAGGAGGGGCCACAAGCCAAGGAAUGCAGGUGGGCUCCAGAACUGGACAAGGCCGGGACCCGGGUCCUCCCUUCAGAGGUUCCAGGAGGAGCUGUACCUGACACGCUGACUUUAGCCUGGAGAGACUGAUUUCGGAUUUCCAGCCUCCAGAAUGGGUGCAGGAUGCAGCAGGUCGAGGCUGAAGGUCCCGCCCUGGGACUGACUUCAUGCCCCCAGUGUUCCCAUCGAAUCAGCCCACCCUUCUGGUACCUUCUCAGUCCGGGGCCGGGAUGUUUGGAUAUCCUUGCAGUUCUGACUGGAAAAUCACAUCUUCCUGGCACUUCCACUGCAUCCCUGGAGGAAGAAGGCAUUGAAGAACCAGAGUCCUGGGUUUGAGUUCCUUAC
rnacentral:lncRNA from 1 species